rnacentral:tRNA from 1 species
GGGCGACUAGCUCAGCUGGAUAGAGUGUUGGCCUCCGAAGCCAAAGGUCGCCGGUUCGAAUCCGGCGUCGCCCACCA